GGUGACAGUUUGAUGCCUUGAGAUACAAGAGGAGGUUAAGAGAUGCAUAUCACUUCUAGAAAUGAACAACAGCUGCAUCCAGGCUUCUCCCUGAAAAUGGGUGACUUCUCCAGACACGGAGGACAUGAGCCAUAGACCCAAGAGAUUUUCACACAAGUGAUCACACCCUUGACAAGCUGGCUGAAGUUCAAUCCUAAAAGGCCAAACAGUUUGUCUGCAAUAGACAGAGAAGAUAAGACUUCCUGACAGAAGUCUCUUCAUUUAAUUGUAUAAUCCUCCACACUGAUCAAGGAAGAAAACUUAGGGUCAUUGCUCAGUGAAUUGCCUUACAAUGCACGACAAUUACAUUGGAAGCAAAACAAAGG